rnacentral:rRNA from 1 species
GACGAACGCUGGCGGCGUGCCUAACACAUGCAAGUCGAACGAGGUCCAAGGAAGCUUGCUUCCUGAAGACCUAGUGGCGAACGGGUGAGUAACACGUGAGAAACCUGCCUCGGAGUGGGGAAUAACUCGGGGAAACUCGAGCUAAUACCGCAUACCUUCACAUGAUCGCAUGGUCGAGUGAAGAAGAAUUUCGCUCUGAGAGGGUCUCGCGGCCUAUCAGCUUGUUGGUGGGGUAACGGCCUACCAAGGCAACGACGGGUAGCUGGUUUGAGAGAACGAUCAGCCACACUGGGACUGAGACACGGCCCAGACUCCUACGGAGGCAGCAGUGGGGAAUCUUGCGCAAUGGGCGAAAGCCUGACGCAGCAACGCCGCGUGCGGGAUGACGGCCUUCGUGGUUGUAAACCGCUUUCAGCAGGACGAAAAUGACGGUACCUGCAGAAGAAGCCCCGGCUAACUACGUGCCAGCAGCCGCGGUAA